AAUGAGGGUUUAACCCAGAUUAUCUGCUUGCUCACCAGGUCUCACUCGGUGGCAUCUACCUUGGGAGCCUCCCAAGGGGCUGGAGUGACAGACUCAGCACUGAGGUUAGUGUGUCAGGACCUUGCAUCUUGUCUGCAGGUCGAUCCCAAGAGGCCCACAGCUUUCUGCAGACUACGGGAUGGCAGCCAGGGGCGCGGGGUGGGCUCCGGUUGAAGAGUAGGAAGCGUCUUGCAGACCACCUUGUUCCUUUGCCUCAGCUCUGCAGUCUGGGCACUCAGAGUAACUUGCCCGCCCAUCGAUCGGUCCUCGGCGCUCCCCCGCCAGAAGCCGAGCACGGUCACACCGCUUCCAGGGGGCCCGGGGGCGCUGAGGCGCCGUCCCAGGCGGGGGGUGGUGGAAGAGUAGGAAGCGUCUUGCAGACCACCUUGUUCCUUUGCCUCAGCUCUGCAGUCUGGGCACUCAGAGUAACUUGCCCGCCCAUCGAUCGGUCCUCGGCGCUCCCCCGCCAG
rnacentral:lncRNA from 1 species